rnacentral:piRNA from 1 species
UGACUGACUUGGUUUCAAGUCUGGGCUAAU